rnacentral:ncRNA from 1 species
ACAUUUCAUUCUGGUUUUCAAUUAACUAGCUCUCUUUAACUUCAUAUGGUAGCCAAGGCAUAUUGUGAGUUUCCCAAUCUUCCUCUAAAGUUUAAUACUUUAGAUUCGAACCAGGAAAAGCAUCCCUGCAAGAUAAGCUACGAAUAAUUCCACAACACCAAUGAUUUAUUUUAAAAAGCCAGGAAACCGGGCUUUAGAAGGUGACCUAUAAGGGUGGCUAAAAAGGUGCCAGCAGUCGCGGUUACACCUUUACCCUAGUUAAUUCCUACAAAUUCCUAAGAAAUCUAUAAAUUAAAUCUAUAACCUUGCUAUUUAAGGUAAAAUGAAAACCGUUCAGGGUUACCCAAACCGGAUUUAACGACCUUCUUAAUAAACCACAAACCUAAACUCGGAUUAGAUACCCGAUUAUUGCGUGGCCUAACACAACGAACACUACGGACGAAAGUCUAAAAUUCAAAGAUUGUGGCGGUAUUUCAUUCUUCUCAGGGGAUCCUGUACCUUAAUUUGAUAAUCCACAAAUACUCUAGUUUUCAUUGCUAACAGCUUGUGUACGGCCGUUUUAGUCUGCUUUACGAAAAUACAAUAGGAGGCUAAAGAGAUAGUUAUCUCAUCAAUUCAGGUAACGUGCAGCCCAUGGAAAACAGGUUAUGGGAUACAUAUAGAUAACCCUACCAGAACUAGAAAUGAAAAUUCUAUAAAGAAGGACUUGAAAGUAAACUCCCAACAUAACUAGGAACUGAAAAAGCUCUGAAAUGCGCACAAAUCGCCCGUCACUCCCGCUAAAAGUGGGAUAAGUCGUAACAAAGUAGGAGUAAUGGAAAUUGCCCCUGU